rnacentral:lncRNA from 1 species
GGAGCAGUCCGUCUUCAAGGUCCAGAUAACAUGAGAAAUGAAGCUUCUCACAUCGUUGUUGGGGAUGACGGACUGUAGUUGAUGGGUUAGCGGAAUUUCAAACUGAUCACCUGGGGAUGAGAGCAAUGGGUAACUGAAGCUUUUGGGCUCGGGGGACAGGUCAGUGCCCACGUUGUUGUAUUCCCAUUUUGUCUCAGUUUGUUUAACAGUUGGCUCUAAGUUGAAUGCAGUCCUAGUGGGAAUCUGCCUCAGGAAGAUGAUUGUAGUUUGUGUUUUCAGAGAUGGUGCCUUCUGGCAUAGUAGUGUUUUCCAUAAAAACGUUUUCUUCAGAGGCAUUUCUUGCAGUUGUGUUUUUUACAGUAGUGUUUUCUAUAAAACAUUCUGAAGGAGCAAAUACUUCUGGAAAAGGGUUUUCUUGAGGACUCAGGUCUCCUGAGGAUGAAAAAGCCCCUUGUGAAGGGGAAUUUAUGAGGCUCUUCACUGCAGAGAACGGCGGCCUCUUUGCGAGCAUCAGUCUAUUGAGAUAACUUUUCUUUCUCAAUUUUCUAAUCUUUUUGGCCUUGGGUGUUCUGUGGGCCACACGGGAGUGAGUUUUAUGAAAGUGGUAUUUUUUUCUGGAAUGUACUACUCGUUUAGCAGCCUUCAUAUUUUUUAACUCUAGCCUUUGCAUUUUCUAAAAUUAAAAUGGUGUAGGCUAAGUCUUUCAAUCUGUCUAUGACCUGAGGUAGGGCUUUUGCAGUUGUGGAAGGCAGAAGGCAUGCCCAUGGAGAAGGGUUUCAGCAAAGAGGAGACUGUUGGCUUCUGCUCUUGGGUGAAUGAAGGCUUGGUGUAGACGGCGUUUCCCGCUACGUUCUCGGGCCCCUGCACUAUGUGAGGCUAUUCCAGCUCCCUUGGGGCUGGACUCCCGAGCCUUUUUUCUUUGGCAGCAUUCUCCCCAAAUGCCUGGGCACCCUGUUCCCUCCUGAUACUCUGCUUUCCCACCGCUUUGAAGGGCCUUUUCUGGAUGCUCCUUGGGCCCAUGAGGACUCUGUUCACUCUCUGCAGGUUUUUGCCUACACUUUGAACCUUUGCCAGGCUGUUUUCCUGUGGUUGGACAGUUUCUAAUUUCUUUUCAAAUAUUUGGCAUUUAAAUUUGUUACCUAGAAGGCUGGACUGCAUAAGCAUGGCAGUUUUUUCUUCCCUUUUAACUUCAUCGAUUUUUUUCUUGUAUUUCUGCAUCUAACAUCUUUUCUAGCAAAUACACCUUUCUCAAUUUAUUUUCAUAAGUUGAAUUGUUGGAUGCAGGUUGAAACAAGGGGCUCUUUGUAUUGUUUUUCAAAACAGGAGCUUAUCUCCAUCUUGCACAUUUGAAAAAAGCAGUUUAAUGAAUGGUAACAACAUUGAUUCCGCAUCUAGAUUUCCUGCUGAGAAAUAAGGCAAGAUGUAAUUUAGCGCAGUGAUAACAUCACUCUUAUCAUAAGUGUCUAGCUGCUCACUCCCAAAGACUGACAAGUUGAUGCCACUGCUGUCUGAGGCUGCCUCCGGCUCAGUAGUCAGCUCAAUGCUCAUGUGCUUCUUCUGGGCUUGUAACACCUUCAUGAACACUCUUUCUGGAUUCCCUACAGAUGCUUCUUCACCUGUCAAAAAAAAGAGACUGCUUUGAUCAUGAAAGAUAAUGGAACGGCAUGCAUCAGUCCACAGCUGUAUGCCCCAGUCACACAAAGUAGGAGUCAGCAAACAUUAGAGUGCCAUUCAGAGAGGAGAAACACACACCCAAGCCUAAAUCUAUGAAAUGGCAACAACAAAAGGAGGAAAAGACAUCUUUUGAAAAUAUGGCUACUUACUUGGAACAUUCCUAGUGUGACAUAGAGUAACUCUGCUUAGGAUUAUUUCGUUGAUCCCCAGGGGCCAAUUGCCCAGUGCUCAGUCAAAGCCCAAGGUGGAAGACAAGUGCUUCCCUGAUGAGCUGUCCUCUCUGCAGACUGCUCCGUACCCUGUGCUGUCCUGCCUCAGAUGCAGAGAGAGCACAAGCCUCCCUCCUCAUCCUCAGUGUGCCUGUGUUCUUACUACCAUCACAGCUGAAUGCAAUGAAAGGCUAUCCUCUGAGAGGAGCAGGGUGGAGAUGCUAAAGUGGAGGCCCCCUCCCAUUGCUGAUAGAUCCUCAUCUGGCAUGCACUCCACCCACCCACCCCAUUCUCUGCUACCACAUAUCGUAGCCCCAUUAAAGAAGAAGUGACAUGGAAAAAACACUGUGCCCACCCUAGUCCUUUUCUUAAAUUUGGGCAGAGAUCCAGGGUAUAGGUUAAGAGAUUUUUAAUUUGCCAGAUGGUAUGCCUAUGUUGUUAAAUAUACAAUGAAUCUAUGGUAUGAUAGCAGUUUCUGGAUAAACAUUACUUGAGGUCCUAAAAUGCAGAAGGGAAAAAGCAGCUUUUGUCAGAUGCUUACUUUGCUUUCAUUUCAUCUCUAAUAUUUUGGAUGGGGAACCAUCCAAAGCUUCUGGCCGCAUGAAGGUCAAGUGUGCCAGUGUGCAGCUGGGUUUCUUUUCCAGAAUUAAAAGUAUUUUGGGUGGUGCUGAGGGUCAGAGGAAGAAGUAAAAAUUGUGAGAAAGGAGAAACAUGGGCUUGGGGAGAACCCAGAAUUGGGGACAGAAGACCUGGCACUAAGCUAUAGCACUUAGCACCUCUGAUCUUGUUUUUCCUCGUCCGUAAAAGGAGAUUAACAAUGCUUUUCUGCCCACCUCUUGGGGAGAAGGGAAUAAUUUAGUUGGUAAAAAAAAAACUUUUGAAUAAUAAGCAACUCUGUCUUUAUAUAAGUAGCCAAGCAUUAUUAAUUAUCCACCCCAUAUCACUGGUAGAUACCUGUAUUCAAGCUAUGUGGACAUAAAAGCAGUCACAUUUUAGAAGUCAUGAAGUUGGUGCUAAUAAACCUAAUCUACAGAAAAA